rfam:Medicago truncatula strain A17 chromosome 7, whole genome shotgun sequence.
AUUGUUGACCGUGAGGAUACAAAGCUCCCUCUUCUGAUUUUAAGGUGAGGUCAAUUGCAGGCAGAAUCGAACCUAAAUUAAUCUAGCCACCACUGAGUCA